rnacentral:rRNA from 1 species
UGGGCGCAAGCCUGAUGCAGCAACGCCGCGUGCGGGAUGACGGCCUUCGGGUGUAAACCGCUUUCAGUUCCGACGAAGCGCAAGUGACGGUAGGAACAGAAGAAGGACCGGCCAACUACGUGCCAGCAGCCGCGGUGAUACGUAGGGUCCGAGCGUUGUCCGGAAUUAUUGGGCGUAAAGGGCUUGUAGGCGGUUUGUUGCGUCGGAAGUGAAAACUCAGGGCUUAACCCUGAGCCUGCUUCCGAUACGGGCAAACUAGAGGAGUGCAGGGGGAGAAUGGAAUUCCUGGUGGAGCGGUGGAAUGCGCAGAUAUCAGGAGGAACACCGGUGGCGAAGGCGGUUCUCUGGGCAUUUCCUGACGCUGAGAAGCGAAAGCGUGGGGAGCAAACAGGCUUAGAUACCCUGGUAGUCCACGCCGUAAACGGUGGGCACUAGGUGUGGGGAACAUUCCACGUUCUCCGUGCCGAAGCUAACGCAUUAAGUGCCCCGCCUGGGGAGUACGGCCGCAAGGCUA